rnacentral:rRNA from 1 species
AUUGAACGCUGGCGGAAUGCUUUACACAUGCAAGUCGAACGGCAGCACGGACUUCAGUCUGGUGGCGAGUGGCGAACGGGUGAGUAAUGCAUCGGAACGUGCCCAAUCGUGGGGGAUAACGUAGCGAAAGUUACGCUAAUACCGCAUACGAUCUAAGGAUGAAAGCGGGGGAUCGCAAGACCUCGCGCGAAUGGAGCGACCGAUGUUAGAUUAGGUAGUUGGUGGGGUAAAGGCUCACCAAGCCGACGAUCUAUAGCUGGUCUGAGAGGAUGAUCAGCCACACUGGGACUGAGACACGGCCCAGACUCCUACGGGAGGCAGCAGUGGGGAAUUUUGGACAAUGGGCGAAAGCCUGAUCCAGCCAUUCCGCGUGCAGGAUGAAGGCCCUCGGGUUGUAAACUGCUUUUGUACAGAACGAGAAGCUCUGGGUUAAUACCCUGGGGUCAUGACGGUACUGUAAGAAUAAGCACCGGCUAACUACGUGCCAGCCGCCGCAGUAAAAC